rnacentral:rRNA from 1 species
CACGUAGGGGCCAAGCGUUGUCCGGAUUUACUGGGCGUAAAGGGCGCGCAGGCGGUUCUGUUUGUCGAGUGUGAAAGCCCCGGGCUCAACCUGGGAACUGCGCUCGAAACGGCGGAACUAGAGUUCGGGAGAGGAGAGUGGAAUUCCCAGUGUAGAGGUGAAAUUCGUAGAUAUCAAGCGGAACACCGGUGGCGAAGGCGGCCUUCUGGACAGUGACUGACGCUGAGACGCGAAAGCGUGGGGAGCAAACAGG